AAUCUACAGGUCGAGCAAGUCUCGUAAAUUUCACGAUUGCGAGCCACGCUUCACGCAACCGUGUUUGCGUACUUGUGUUUCGAGUUGCGUGGUCGUGCGGAGUUGUCAAAAUUAAAUCAAUAUCAAUAUGUCAAUAUGGCUACUGGGUGUAAAAGAUACAUCUUAUUCUAUCUGUUCUUAAUGAGUUUUAGAUAAUUUUAGUUGUAUUUCUUUGUAAUUUUGUGUUGUACAAAGAUUAAUUUAACAUUUUCUCUGGAAGUAUUAAUUUAGAAAGAUAAUAUGCUUCAUUGGUGUUGUGUUGUGAAGUGUGAAAUGCAAAGUAAUUGUGAUAAAGUUCACUUUUAAACUGAACUAAAUAAGGUAUCUGAGAGACAACAAUGGUUAAAUGCAAUACAAUGUACAGGUUUUACUAGCGAAAUGAAAAUUUUCCUGUCCUGUCUGCUGUAAUCAUUUUAUAUUGGUACUGGUAAGUUACAAUUACAACAGUAACGAUUUUUGAAGAUGUUAACAUUUUAAUCUUAUAGGAAAACCAGCCGACUUAAUCGAUAAUAACAAUCUCCAGAUUGGGUUCCUUCAAUAAAUAUGGGCUAUAAACACAAUGAAAUAAGUUCCCCAAAAUCUAAAAUGGAGUGGUAUCAAAGGAGAAUUAAAGGAAAAAAUAUUCAUAUUGAAAUUAUUUAUAAGGCACUGGACUGUCUUAAAUUCUACAGUAAUACUAGAAUCAGCUGAGAGAAGUGGUCUACAAAAAACCAGGAAGGAAACGGAAUAUGUGGCUACGAAAGGCAAAAGAAAGGUUUACAAAGCAAAUGUGACACAUUUUUUUGAAAUAUUUAGGAAUAUCAGUAAAUUGCAUUAAAAAAAUGUAUGAAAAGAUUUUGUUCAAUAAAAAUGUUUAUAUUUA